rnacentral:rRNA from 1 species
GAUGAGCCUGCGUCCCAUUAGCUAGUUGGUAGGGUAAUGGCCUACCAAGGCAGUAAUGGGUAGCCGACCUGAGAGGGUGAUCGGCCACACUGGGACUGAGACACGGCCCAGACUCCUACGGGAGGCAGCAGUAGGGAAUAUUGCCCAAUGGGCGAAAGCCUGAGGCAGCGACGCCGCGUGGAUGAAGAAGCGCUUCGGUGUGUAAAAUCCUUUUCUUUGUGAGCAAAGCCAAUAAGGUGAACAGUUUUAUUGGUAAGAUAUUAGCAGAGGAAUAAGCUCCGGCUAACUCCGUGCCAGCAGCCGCGGUAACACGGGGGGAGCAAGCGUUGUCCGGAAUUACUAGGCGUAAAGGGCAAGUAGGCGGAAUAAUUAGUCAGAAGUUAAAGGCGUCGGCUCAACCGGCGUAUGGCAUUUGAUACUGUUAUUCUAGAGUAAGGUGGGGGAAGACGGAAUUCCUGG